GACGAACGCUGGCGGCGUGCUUAACACAUGCAAGUCGUGCGGUAAGGCCCUUUCGGGGUUGCGCGAGCGGCGAACGGGUGAGUAACACGUGAGCAACCUGCCCUUCACUUUGGGAUAACUGCCGGAAACGGUGGCUAAUACCGGAUAUGACUUCCUCACGCAUGUGGGGUGGUGGAAAGCCUUCGGGUGGUGGGUGAUGGGCUCGCGGUCUAUCAGUUUGUUGGUGGGGUGAUGGCAUACCAAGGCUUCGAAGGGUAGCCGGCCUGAGGGGGGGACCGGCCACACUGGGACGGCGACGCGGCCGCGACUCCUACGGGAGGCAGCAGCGGGGAAUAUUGUACAAUGGGCGACAGCCGGAUGCAGGAACGCCGCGUGAGGGAUGACGGCGUUCGGGGUGUAAUCCUCUUCCGCCUGCGACGAAGAGAGAGUGACGGUAUCAGGGAAAGAAGCACCGGCCAACUACGUG
rnacentral:rRNA from 1 species